rnacentral:rRNA from 1 species
UACGUAGGGCGCAAGCGUUGUCCGGAAUUAUUGGGCGUAAAGAGCUCGUAGGCGGUUUGUCGCGUCUGCUGUGAAAACCUAAGGCUCAACCUUGGGCUUGCAGUGGGUACGGGCAGACUAGAGUGCGGUAGGGGUGACUGGAAUUCCUGGUGUAGCGGUGGAAUGCGCAGAUAUCGGGAGGAACACCGAUGGCGAAGGCAGGUCACUGGGCCGCAACUGACGCUGAGGAGCGAAAGCAUGGGGAGCGAACAGG